GCUGCUGGAAAGGCAGUUCCAGGCGCGGCCACCUCUGCGGGCCCGGCUGGAGAGCCCCGGCGUUGGCGUAUCUGGGAACCGACGUCCGCGCGCCGCUGGCUGGAAUGCGCCCGGCUCGCCUCCGCGGCGCUAUACCGGCAGGCGCCUGGUCCCCCGCUCAGAAUCUGUCAGCCUCAAACAUUCAUUGACAACCUACGAUGGCCUGGCACAGAGCUGAGAACCUCCAGGGGUGUCAGAGACGAACCAGAACACCUUCCAGGGAGGCCUUCACCUUGACCCCAUAUUUGAGCUUUCACCUUGACCCCACAUUCAGAGAGCUCUCAAAUGCCUUACGGUGACUUCCAGUCUGGGCUUGCAGUGUGAUUAUAGAAACCCGACGCACAGGUUUGUUGGAAAACAGUAGAGCUGAGGCCCAGAAGUCGCUCACUACGAGAUAGUUGUGCUGCACUGUGGAUUACGCUUGUAUUCCCAGCACCCGUGACGGUCACUCACACGCGGUAGCGCGUCUUCAGCCACCGUGUGUCCAGCUGAAUUCAGUUGGCCACAUGCUCCGUACGGCCCUAAAUCAGAGAACACAGUAGAGACCCAGCCGGGCCCUGAGUGACACAGGUUGCAGCCUUCUCCCUGCCCGUGCCCCUCAUCCGAGCACUCCACCCCCCAGCCCUCGCUGCGGACCUCACCCGUGAGUGGAAGGGGCAGUGACGCCAGCUGCCCCUGAUCUGAAAUGCGCUUGCAAGUUUUGGUGAGCUAGGGGGCAGGGGGUGGGGGUGGGGGACGGGAACAAAUUCUGCUCUCAGGACCUUGAGCCUGACGUGCAAGGCAGAGCACCCCUCUGGAGUUUGACCUGGGAGGCACCAGAAAUUCAUUCCCCUCCUCAUAACGGGCGCUCUCCUUUCCUGCCAGGAUCACAGAAAUUCUCACCAUGAGGCAACCUUCCUGUUGCCCUAAGGCCUUGUCUCCCGAACGUUCUUAUUAAAAGGCAGGGAGCUCACCUGGCAGGGUAGCACGUGGGCUCCCUGGCAGGGAUGGGGCAGGAUGUUACAGCAUCUCCCACAGAGCCCAGGGCCCUGGGUUAUAAAUGAUUCAGGCAGCAGGAAGGUAGGGGGAGGGAGGGAAGAGGCCAGGGCUGGGACAGAGAAUGAUUUAAUGGAGGGGGGUGGCAGGCAGGCCCCUGGCACUGUCCUUACUGGUUCCCAGUUAGCGUGAUGGGCAGUGAAGAAGGGAUUUCACUUUCCUGCAAAACAGUGCCCCCGAGUCUUGGGCUUUUCCCUCUGGAGGUCCCUUGCCUGCCUUGUCCUGGGCUCCUCUGAUGGGAAGAAGAGUUGUAAGGGCUUGGGGGACGUCACGGCCACUCCUCGGUGGCAGAACUGCUCUGGGCAGCACUCCUGACCGUGGCUCGGAGGCGGAGCGCGGGCACAGCCCAUCUGGACUGCCGAAUGAGAUGGAA